rnacentral:rRNA from 1 species
UACGGAGGGUGCAAGCGUUAUCCGGAUUCACUGGGUUUAAAGGGUGCGUAGGUGGGUUGGUAAGUCAGUGGUGAAAUCUCCGUGCUUAACAUGGAAACUGCCAUUGAUACUACUGAUCUUGAAUUUCCUGGAGGUAAGCGGAAUAUGUCAUGUAGCGGUGAAAUGCUUAGAUAUGACAUAGAACACCAAUUGCGAAGGCAGCUUGCUACAGGGAUAUUGACACUGAGGCACGAAAGCGUGGGGAUCAAACAGG